rnacentral:rRNA from 5 species
GGUUUCCGUAGGUGAACCUGCGGAAGGAUCAUUACAUGAAAUGGGGCUUGCUCCAUUUAGGAGGGGCUGAACGCCAGCUUUUUGCUUCAGCAAGUAGGCCCUCUUACCAUCCUUGUCUUUUGAGUACCCAUGUUUCCUCGGUGGGCUAGCCCACCAGCUGGACAUUACCAUAACUCUUUUAAUUUUCAAUCAGCGUCAGUAAAUAAUGAAAAUAAUUACAACUUUCAACAACGGAUCUCUUGGUUCUGGCAUCGAUGAAGAACGCAGCGAAAUGCGAUAAGUAGUGUGAAUUGCAGAAUUCAGUGAAUCAUCGAAUCUUUGAACGCACAUUGCGCCCCUUGGUAUUCCAUGGGGCAUGCCUGUUCGAGCGUCAUUUGUAACUUCAAGCUUUGCUUGGUGUUGGGUGCUUGUCUCAUUGUUGACUCGCCUUAAAUGAAUUGGCAGCCCAUAAUUUGGCUUGGAAAUGCAGCACAAUUUGCAAUUCCAGCUUAUAUUACAGGCAACCAGAAAGAAACAUCACGCUUGACCUCGGAUCAGGUAGGGAUACCCGCUGAACUUAAGCAU